CUCCUACGGGAGGCAGCAGUAGGGAAUCUUCGGCAAUGGGGCAACCCUGACCGAGCAACGCCGCGUGAGUGAAGAAGGUUUUCGGAUCGUAAAGCUCUGUUGUAAGUCAAGAACGAGUGUGAGAGUGGAAAGUUCACACUGUGACGGUAGCUUACCAGAAAGGGACGGCUAACUACGUGCCAGCAGCCGCGGUAAUACGUAGGUCCCGAGCGUUGUCCGGAUUUAUUGGGCGUAAAGCGAGCGCAGGCGGUUUGAUAAGUCUGAAGUUAAAGGCUGUGGCUCAACCAUAGUUCGCUUUGGAAACUGUCAAACUUGAGUGCAGAAGGGGAGAGUGGAAUUCCAUGUGUAGCGGUGAAAUGCGUAGAUAUAUGGAGGAACACCGGUGGCGAAAGCGGCUCUCUGGUCUGUAACUGACGCUGAGGCUCGAAAGCGUGGGGAGCGAACAGGAUUAGAUACCCUGGUAGUCCACGCCGUAAACGAUGAGUGCUAGGUGUUGGAUCCUUUCCGGGAUUCAGUGCCGCAGCUAACGCAUUAAGCACUCCGCCUGGGGAGUACGACCGCAAGGUUGAAACUCAAAGGAAUUGACGGGGGCCCGCACAAGCGGUGGAGCAUGUGGUUUAAUUCGAAGCAACGCGAAGAACCUUACCAGGUCUUGACAUCCCGAUGCUAUUUCUAGAGAUAGAAAGUUACUUCGGUACAUCGGUGACAGGUGGUGCAUGGUUGUCGUCAGCUCGUGUCGUGAGAUGUUGGGUUAAGUCCCGCAACGAGCGCAACCCCUAUUGUUAGUUGCCAUCAUUCAGUUGGGCACUCUAGCGAGACUGCCGGUAAUAAACCGGAGGAAGGUGGGGAUGACGUCAAAUCAUCAUGCCCCUUAUGACCUGGGCUACACACGUGCUACAAUGGUUGGUACAACGAGUUGCGAGUCGGUGACGGCAAGCUAAUCUCUUAAAGCCAAUCUCAGUUCGGAUUGUAGGCUGCAACUCGCCUACAUGAAGUCGGAAUCGCUAGUAAUCGCGGAUCAGCACGCCGCGGUGAAUACGUUCCCGGGCCUUGUACACACCGCCCGU
rnacentral:rRNA from 1 species